rnacentral:rRNA from 1 species
UAAACUACGAUUAGAUACCCUAUUAUUUUGAAUGUGAAGUGUAAAUAUUGGAGUAGUAUAAGCUAUGUUCUUGAAACUCAAAGAAUUUGGCGGUGUUUUAGUCCUUUCAGAGGAACCUGUCCCGUAAUCGAUAUUCCACGUUAUACCUUUCUUAAUUUGGUUAUUUCAGUUUGUAUAUCGCCGUCGUCAGAAUGUCCUAUAAGGGAUUAAAUUUUCUUUAUUUGUAAAAUUAAGAGAUGUCAGGUCAAGGUGCAGUUUAUAGUUAAGAGGAGAUGGGUUACAAUAAAUUUAUUUAUACGGAUAGUUAUUUGAAAUUAAUAGUUUGAAGGUGGAUUUGAAUGUAAUUAUAUGUUAGAGGAAUAUAUUGAUUUUGGCUCUAAAACAUGCACACAUCGCCCGUCGCUCUUA